GACGAACGCUGGCGGCGUGCUUAACACAUGCCAGUCGAACGGAAAGGCCCUGCUUUUGUGGGGUGCUCGAGUGGCGAACGGGUGCGUAACACGUGAGUAACCUGCCCUUGACUUUGGGAUAACUUCAGGAAACUGGGGCUAAUACCGGAUAGGAGCUCCUGCUGCAUGGUGGGGGUUGGAAAGUCUCGGCGGGUGGGGAUGGACGCGCGGCUGAUCAGCUUGUUGGUGGGGGAGUGGCUUACCAAGGCUUUGACGGGUAGCCGGCCUGGGAGGGUGACCGGCCACAUUGGGACUGAGGUACGGCCCAGACGCCUACGGGAGGCAGCAGUGGGGAAUAUGGCACAAUGGGCGGAAGCCUGAGGCAGCAACGCCGCGUGCGGGAUGACGGCCUUCGGGUUGUAAACCGCUUUCGCCUGUGACGAAGCGUGAGUGACGGUAAUGGGUAAAGAAGCACCGGCUAACUACGUG
rnacentral:rRNA from 1 species